rnacentral:misc_RNA from 1 species
CAGCGCGGUAAUUCCAGCUCCAAUAGCGUAUAUUAGUGUUGUUGCGGUUAAAAAGCUCGUAGUUGAAUUUCGGGAUUGGGAUAUAUCGGUCAUGCCUUUAGGGGCAUGAAUCGGUGUGUAGCCAAUUUCUCACCUUCUGGUGAAUUGGGAUGCUCUUGGGUGUUUCAAUGAACUAGGACUUUUACUUUGAAAAAAAUAUAGUGUUUAAAGCGGGCAUUUUUGCUUGAAUACAUUAGCAUGGAAUAAUAAAAUAGGACGAUGGUUCUAUUUUGUUGGUUUUAGGACCACGUAAUGAUUAAUAGGGAUAGUUGGGGGCAUUAGUAUUCAAUAGUCAGAGGUGAAAUUCUUGGAUUUAUUGAGGACUAACUACUGCGAAAGCAUUUGCCAAGGAUGUUUUCAUUAAUCAAGAACGAAAGUUAGGGGAUCGAAGACGAUUUAUGUACGUCGUAGUCUUAACCAUAAACUAUGCCGACUAGGAAUCAGACAAAGUUCAUUUUUUAACGACUUGUUUGGUACCUUACG